rnacentral:rRNA from 1 species
GAUGAACGCUGGCGGCGUGCCUAAUACAUGCAAGUCGAGCGAACGGACGAGAAGCUUGCUUCUCUGAUGUUAGCGGCGGACGGGUGAGUAACACGUGGAUAACCUACCUAUAAGACUGGGAUAACUUCGGGAAACCGGAGCUAAUACCGGAUAAUAUUUUGAACCGCAUGGUUCAAAAGUGAAAGACGGUCUUGCUGUCACUUAUAGAUGGAUCCGCGCUGCAUUAGCUAGUUGGUAAGGUAACGGCUUACCAAGGCAACGAUGCAUAGCCGACCUGAGAGGGUGAUCGGCCACACUGGAACUGAGACACGGUCCAGACUCCUACGGGAGGCAGCAGUAGGGAAUCUUCCGCAAUGGGCGAAAGCCUGACGGAGCAACGCCGCGUGAGUGAUGAAGGUCUUCGGAUCGUAAAACUCUGUUAUUAGGGAAGAACAUAUGUGUAAGUAACUGUGCACAUCUUGACGGUACCUAAUCAGAAAGCCACGGCUAACUACGUGCCAGCAGCCGCGGUAAUACGUAGGUGGCAAGCGUUAUCCGGAAUUAUUGGGCGUAAAGCGCGCGUAGCGGUUUUUUAAGUCUGAUGUGAAAGCCCACGGCUCAACCGUGGAGGGUCAUUGGAAACUGGAAAACUUGAGUGCAGAAGAGGAAAGUGGAAUUCCAUGUGUAGCGGUGAAAUGCGCAGAGAUAUGGAGGAACACCAGUGGCGAAGGCGACUUUCUGGUCUGUAACUGACGCUGAUGUGCGAAAGCGUGGGGAUCAAACAGGAUUAGAUACCCUGGUAGUCCACGCCGUAAACGAUGAGUGCUAAGUGUUAGGGGGUUUCCGCCCCUUAGUGCUGCAGCUAACGCAUUAAGCACUCCGCCUGGGGAGUACGACCGCAAGGUUGAAACUCAAAGGAAUUGACGGGGGCCCGCACAAGCGGUGGAGCAUGUGGUUUAAUUCGAAGCAACGCGAAGAACCUUACCAAAUCUUGACAUCCUUUGACAACUCUAGAGAUAGAGCUUUCCCCUUCGGGGGACAAAGUGACAGGUGGUGCAUGGUUGUCGUCAGCUCGUGUCGUGAGAUGUUGGGUUAAGUCCCGCAACGAGCGCAACCCUUAAGCUUAGUUGCCAUCAUUAAGUUGGGCACUCUAAGUUGACUGCCGGUGACAAACCGGAGGAAGGUGGGGAUGACGUCAAAUCAUCAUGCCCCUUAUGAUUUGGGCUACACACGUGCUACAAUGGACAAUACAAAGGGCAGCGAAACCGUGAGGUCAAGCAAAUCCCAUAAAGUUGUUCUCAGUUCGGAUUGUAGUCUGCAACUCGACUACAUGAAGCUGGAAUCGCUAGUAAUCGUAGAUCAGCAUGCUACGGUGAAUACGUUCCCGGGUCU